UUAAAUGUAAAAUUUUUAUUUAAUUAUUAUUAGUUAUGGUCUUUAAAAUUAAAAAUUUUGGCGGUAUUUUAGUCUUUUUAGAGGAACCUGUUCUUUAAAUGAUAAUCCACGAUUUUAUUAAUUUUUAUUAUUAGUUUGUAUAUCGUCGUAAUUAAAUAUUUUUUUAGAAUUAAAAUAUUUAGAAUUUUUUUAAAAAAAUUAAUCAGAUCAAGGUGCAGUUUAUAUAAAAGUAGAAAUGGGUUACAAUAAAAUUAUUUUUGGAUUUUAAAUAUUAAUAUUUAAAUGAAAUUGGAUUUAAAUGUAAUAUUAAUUAAUUAGUUAAUAUGAUUUUGGCUCUAAGAUAUGU
rnacentral:rRNA from 1 species